rnacentral:misc_RNA from 1 species
CUGGUUUACUUUCCCUAUUCCAAGAUCUGUUUCACAUUUCUGUGCCAAAACAGCUCGGCUAUCUCCAACAUUCAUCAAGUAAACAUCUUCUCCUUUCAUCAACAUCACCAAAACACAAGAACCCAUCAAAGAUAACUCAGGUUUCUCUGCUGCCAUCUUAUCAGCAAUUUCAAAGAAGGACUCCUCAGUCUUCUUCAAUGCCUGGGAAAGUGCGUUCAAAACAUCGAAAUGGUUAACCCCAUUAGAGUUGGACCCUUUACAAUUCAGUUUCUCUUUUAAUUUCCUAUCAAGUUCCAUUCUUUCUCUGUCCCAUUCACACCUCCACCUCCUCUGGCUCUCCUCCCAUCUUUUUGCUGCGCCUUUACUCCUAUGCCUCGAAUUCUUUCCCUGGGUUCUCUUCAAGUAAUGAUUUAAGUCGAAAUCCUCAUCUCUAGUGCCAAAUGGAUGAUUUUCCUUGUCAAUCGAAGGUGAUGCCUCCUUUGUUUCCUCUGUUUUUGAAGCGGAUUCAAACUUGUCCAUCCAUAACAAUCCUUUGAGCUCCUCAUUAACAUUAGUAUAGAGAUUGGAAAGCAAAUAAUCAGGAGCAUCAGGGCCAUUAAAGCCAUCAUAAAUUCCCACAAAAACCCAUCCAUGUUCCUCUGAUAUUACUAUAUGAACUCGAUCCUCACCUGCUUUCCCUUGUGCCCAUUGCAGAUUCUGGCUUUCCAUUGAAAACAAACUAUCAUCAUCAACAUCAUUAUUGGAGCUCGCCUGGGCACUGAAAUUAGCACUGCUACCGCUCAAGUUUUCGCCAGUUCCAGCUGAAACUGAUUCUUUAACACCUUUGAUCGGUGCCAUUAUAGAUUUUUUCCCUCGAGAGAUGGUGU